rnacentral:rRNA from 1 species
GACGAACGCCGGCUGCGUGCUUAACACAUGCAAGUCGAACGGAAAGGCCCUGCUUUUGUGGGGUGCUCGAGUGGCGAACGGGUGAGUAACACGUGAGUAACCUGCCCUUGACUUUGGGAUAACUUCAGGAAACUGGGGCUAAUACCGGAUAGGAGCUCCUGCUGCAUGGUGGGGGUUGGAAAGUUUCGGCGGUUGGGGAUGGACUCGCGGCUUAUCAGCUUGUUGGUGGGGUAGUGGCUUACCAAGGCUUUGACGGGUAGCCGGCCUGAGAGGGUGACCGGCCACAUUGGGACUGAGAUACGGCCCAGACUCCUACGGGAGGCAGCAGUGGGGAAUAUUGCACAAUGGGCGGAAGCCUGAUGCAGCAACGCCGCGUGCGGGAUGACGGCCUUCGGGUUGUAAACCGCUUUCGCCUGUGACGAAGCGUGAGUGACGGUAAUGGGUAAAGAAGCACCGGCUAACUACGUGCCAGCAGCCGCGGUGAUACGUAGGGUGCGAGCGUUGUCCGGAUUUAUUGGGCGUAAAGGGCUCGUAGGUGGUUGAUCGCGUCGGAAGUGUAAUCUUGGGGCUUAACCCUGAGCGUGCUUUCGAUACGGGUUGACUUGAGGAAGGUAGGGGAGAAUGGAAUUCCUGGUGGAGCGGUGGAAUGCGCAGAUAUCAGGAGGAACACCAGUGGCGAAGGCGGUUCUCUGGGCCUUUCCUGACGCUGAGGAGCGAAAGCGUGGGGAGCGAACAGGCUUAGAUACCCUGGUAGUCCACGCUGUAAACGGUGGGUACUAGGUGUGGGGUCCAUUCCACGGGUUCCGUGCCGUAGCUAACGCUUUAAGUACCCCGCCUGGGGAGUACGGCCGCAAGGCUAAAACUCAAAGGAAUUGACGGGGCCCCGCACAAGCGGCGGAGCAUGCGGAUUAAUUCGAUGCAACGCGUAGAACCUUACCUGGGUUUGACAUGGAUCGGGAGUGCUCAGAGAUGGGUGUGCCUCUUUUAGGGUCGGUUCACAGGUGGUGCAUGCCUGUCGUCAGCUCGUGUCGUGAGAUGUUGGGUUAAGUCCCGCAACGAGCGCAACCCUUGUUCACUGUUGCCAGCACGUUAUGGUGGGGACUCAGUGGAGACCGCCGGGGUCAACUCGGAGGAAGGUGGGGAUGACGUCAAGUCAUCAUGCCCCUUAUGUCCAGGGCUUCACGCAUGCUACAAUGGCUGGUACAGAGAGUGGCGAGCCUGUGAGGGUGAGCGAAUCUCGGAAAGCCGGUCUCAGUUCGGAUUGGGGUCUGCAACUCGACCUCAUGAAGUCGGAGUCGCUAGUAAUCGCAGAUCAGCAACGCUGCGGUGAAUACGUUCCCGGGGCU